CCUACGGGUGGCUGCAGUGGGGAAUCUUGCACAAUGGGGGAAACCCUGAUGCAGCGACGCCGCGUGAGCGAUGAAGCCCUUCGGGGUGUAAAGCUCUUUCGGCAGGGAAGAUGAUGACGGUACCUGCAGAAGCAGCUGCGGCUAACUACGUGCCAGCAGCCGCGGUACUACGUAGGCAGCAAGCGUUGUUCGGAGUUACUGGGCGUAAAGGGUGUGUAGGCGGUUCUUUAAGUUUGGUGUGAAAUCUCCCGGCUCAACUGGGAGGGUGCGCCGAAUACUGAGGGACUCGAGUGCGGGAGAGGAAAGUGGAAUUCCUGGUGUAGCGGUGAAAUGCGUAGAUAUCAGGAGGAACACCGGUGGUGUAAACGGCUUUCUGGACCGUAACUGACGCUGAGACACGAAAGCGUGGGUAGCAAACAGGAUUAGAUACCCCUGUAGUC
rnacentral:rRNA from 1 species